GCCAUUCUCAGUUGGAGUCUU
rnacentral:miRNA from 1 species